GCGGGUGUAGUUUAGUGGUAAAACCUCAGCCUUCCAAGCUGAUGAUGAGGGUUCGAUUCCCUUCACUCGCUCCA
rnacentral:tRNA from 1 species